ACACUGUUGGUGAAGUGGUUAUCAUACUUCCCUUCCAUUAUUAGUUUUGCUAUUCCGAGCAAGCGGCUCGGGUUCGAUUCCCGAACAGUGUA